rnacentral:siRNA from 1 species
UGGAAGAUAGAUGUUUGCCUA